CCUACGGGUGGCAGCAGUGGGGAAUAUUGCACAAUGGGCGCAAGCCUGAUGCAGCCAUGCCGCGUGUGUGAAGAAGGCCUUCGGGUUGUAAAGCACUUUCAGCGGGGAGGAAGGCGUUAAGGUUAAUAACCUUGGCGAUUGACGUUACCCGCAGAAGAAGCACCGGCUAACUCCGUGCCAGCAGCCGCGGUAAUACGGAGGGUGCAAGCGUUAAUCGGAAUUACUGGGCGUAAAGCGCACGCAGGCGGUCUGUCAAGUCGGAUGUGAAAUCCCCGGGCUCAACCUGGGAACUGCAUUCGAAACUGGCAGGCUAGAGUCUUGUAGAGGGUGGUAGAAUUCCAGGUGUAGCGGUGAAAUGCGUAGAGAUCUGGAGGAAUACCGGUGGCGAAGGCGGCCCCCUGGACAAAGACUGACGCUCAGGUGCGAAAGCGUGGGGAGCAAACAGGAUUAGAUACCCCGGUAGUC
rnacentral:rRNA from 1 species